rnacentral:rRNA from 1 species
GACGAACGCUGGCGGCGUGCCUAUUACAUGCAAGUCGAACGAAGCUGGUUUAACUGGUGCUUGCACCGACUUAAACAACUGAGUGGCGAACGGGUGAGUAACACGUGGGUAACCUGCCCCAAAGCGGGGGAUAACAUUUGGAAACAGAUGCUAAUACCGCAUAAUCACAGAAACCACAUGGUUUCUGUGUCAAAGAUGGUUUCGGCUAUCACUUUGGGAUGGACCCGCGGCGUAUUAGCUAGUUGGUAAGGUAAUGGCUUACCAAGGAAAUGCUACGGAGCCGAACUGAGAGGUUGAACAGCCACAUUGGGACUGAGACACGGCCCAAACUCCUACGGGAGGCAGCAGUAGGGAAUCUUCCACAAUGGACGAAAGUCGGAUGGAGCAACGCCGCGUGAGUGAAGAAGGUUUUCGGAUCGUAAAACUCUGUUGUCAGAGAAGAACGUGUGCGAGAGUAACUGUUCGUGCAGUGACGGUAUCUGGCCAGAAAGCCACGGCUAACUACGUGCCAGCCGCCGCGGUAA